CCGAAUGAGGAAACUCACUUAGAGUAAUGUCUAAGUAUCAUUAAGUGAAUACAUAGCUUAAUGAGGGGAACUCAGGGAACUGAAACAUCUAAGUACCUGAAGGAAGAGAAAGAAAUUCGAUUCCGUAAGUAGCGGCGAGCGAACGCGGAUUAGCCCAAACCAAUAAAGUUUUCUUUAUUGGGGUUGAGGACAUACCACAUAUAAGAGGUCAUUAUAGACGAAGAAGUUUGGAAAAACUCAUCAUAGAAGGUAAUAAUCCUGUAGUCAAAAUAAUAAUUCUUUAGGUAUGAUCCAGAGUACCACGGGACACGUGAAACCCUGUGGGAAGCAGGAGGGACCACCCUCCAAGGCUAAAUACUACCUAGUGACCGAUAGCGUAUAGUACCGUGAGGGAAAGGUGAAAAGAACCCCGGGAGGGGAGUGAAAUAGAACCUGAAACCCUGCACUUACAAGCUGUGGAAGC
rnacentral:rRNA from 1 species